GCCCGGAUGGUGAAAUUGGUAGACACGCUAGGUUCAGGGUCUAGUGGCCGUAAGGCUGUGGAGGUUCAAGUCCUCUUCCGGGCA
rnacentral:tRNA from 1 species